rnacentral:misc_RNA from 1 species
AAGUAUGAUAUUUGAAUUCUUUGGAGUUCAAAACCAUCUGAUAUUGUGAUAUUAUUGAAAAAUUAAAUUUGGAUUUAAAGAUGAUAUUUUCUUUGUGUUAAAACAAAGUAUCGAUCCAAUAUUUUGAUCAACUCUCUUAUUAUUUUGACUGAAUUUAAUCAAGUUUUAAUCCAAUUUGGAUUAAAAAAAAAAGGUUUAAA